UGGGGAAUUUUGGACAAUGGGCGAAAGCCUGAUCCAGCAAUGCCGCGUGUGUGAAGAAGGCCUUCGGGUUGUAAAGCACUUUCGUCCGGAAAGAAAUCCUUGGCUCUAAUACAGUCGGGGGAUGACGGUACCGGAAGAAUAAGCACCGGCUAACUACGUGCCAGCAGCCGCGGUAAUACGUAGGGUGCAAGCGUUAAUCGGAAUUACUGGGCGUAAAGCGUGCGCAGGCGGUUUGCUAAGACCGAUGUGAAAUCCCCGGGCUCAACCUGGGAACUGCAUUGGUGACUGGCAGGCUAAGUANGGCAGAGGGGGGUAGGAAUUCCACGUGUAGCAGUGAAAUGCGUAGAGAUGUGGAGGAAUACCGAUGGCGAAGGCAGCCCCCUGGGCCAAUACUGACGCUCAUGCACGAAAGCGUGGGGAGCAAACAGGAUUAGAUACCCCUGGUAGUCCACGCCCCUAAACGAUGUCAACUAGUUGUUGGGGAUUCAUUUCCUUAGUAACGUAGCUAACGCGUGAAGUUGACCGCCUGGGGAGUACGGUCGCAAGAUU
rnacentral:rRNA from 1 species